CUCACUUAAAUGAGUCCACAGAGUUGCCUGAACACAAACUUUAGAGAAAGAAAUCAGAUGGUUUGUGAUUACUUCUUGCUAUGACAUUUGCUUGCAAUAUUUCAUUGCUCUCUCCUGUGACAUUGGAGGACACCAUCUUGAUGUCAAUAAACUUGUCUAUGUUUCUGCAAAUCAGACUAGCUUUCUCUUCUUACCCUAGGACCCCAAGGAUCCUAUAACUAUAGAGACGGGUUUUCACCAUGUUGGCCAGCCCGGUCUUGAACUCCGUCAGCCUCCCAGAGUGCUAGGAUUAACAGGCAUGAGCCGGCACGCCCGGCCUCCCCGCUGAAUCCUUUCUUCAUUUUAUCAUAAUCCUUCUAAAUACACUUUCGGGAACUUUAAAAGAUGCCUACCACCAUUUGUCUCUCAUGAAGAUGUGAACUGCGACUGGAAACAGCUCAGUCUCUCGCAG